rnacentral:rRNA from 1 species
CAGUAGCCGCGGGAAUACGUAGGGUGCGAGCGUUAAUCGGAAUUACUGGGCGUAAAGCGUGCGCAGGCGGGGAUGUAAGACCGGUGUGAAAUCCCCGGGCUUAACCUGGGAACUGCAUUGGUGACUGCAUUGCUAGAGUAUGGCAGAGGGGGGUAGAAUUCCACGUGUAGCAGUGAAAUGCGUAGAGAUGUGGAGGAAUACCGAUGGCGAAGGCAGCCCCCUGGGCCAAUACUGACGCUCAUGCACGAAAGCGUGGGGAGCAAACAGGAUUAGAUACCCGAGUAGUCCCUGUCUCUUAUAC